rnacentral:lncRNA from 13 species
UGUCGGAAGAAGCAGGGGAAUAAGAAGGAGUUUAUGGAAGGGUUUAAAGUUUCAAAGGGUGAUUAUUGCUGCAUUGGUUUAUUAUACCUUACGCCAGCCACCUUGUUAUAAAUGGCCUAAUAAAACAUGAGGAAAAAAUACAGCCAAGCAAGUGCCAGUGUGCUUCACAGUCACAGCCAUGGAAACUAAGACAUAUCAUUAGGUUUAUCUGAUGUUCCGAAGACAAAAUACUUUUUAUGCCACAACAUGCACCAGGACAGUACACUCUGGGUUCCAAGUCAACAUAAAUAUUCCAAAGGUUAAUAAGGUUAAAGGUCAGGACACAUGUAGACCUGUAUUACUUGUUUUUUUACUUUUAUUUAGAAUUGAUUUAGAAUUAUUGUUUUAAUGUUUUGUAUUAUCUAGGCAUAUUUCACCAUAAAUGGAACUGAGAUAUUUUAAAAAUGCACUUUCAUUGAAAUAGUUUUGAUUUAAAAUGAGCUAGAUAUAUAGGCAAAAUGUGUUAUAAUACUAAAUGCACCUUGCUACCACACUGAUGAAAAUAGGACCUUGCAACUUUUGGUAUCCAAAAUUGCUUUCACUUGUUAUUACAAGCGCGAAAACAUUGGGUCGUCACUAGUUACCACAGCCACAAAGUCAUAAAACCCCGCCUAUUUCUAAAAUGUAUCUUCUAAAUGUGAUUUUACACAUAAUCCUAACCUUAAACACACUGCUAACCCGAAUCUUAAAUUAAGAUAAAAGCGACACAAAAACUAUUUUUGUACGAUAGCACAGCCAGGUCAAAAUUGACUAUCUAGUGGAAACCACAAUAUCUCGCGAUAUAAUAGAACAUUAUUAUCAAAAUAUUUUAUUUGCGGAUGUUUCCGCUUUGGAAUCUAGGUGAAAGGUCAAAACAAUGAGCAAGCGUCGAAAGCAGCUCGCGCUACAGAUUUACAAAAUGUGCUAAUAUAUAUGAAUAUGUAUAUGUAAUAGAUAGCCAAAUGUUAUUAUUUUGAAACCUUACAAACUAUAUAUGUUUAACUAUUUGUAUUUAUGCGAAUCUGAACUGCUAGGCUAGCUUCUACUAGUUACCUACUAGUAUUACCAUUUAAUUUAGCCUCCAAUGACAAAAUAGUUGCCAUUAGACGCUCGCUUGCUGACAUUAAUUGGAGGAUUUACAAAAAGCCAGUGUUUGUAGAGAGCUAGCUAGUAUUAGCUAUCGUUAGCAAAUAUCCCAUUAAUUUAUGUGGAGACAGGUAACAAAUUCUUUACCUAGCUUUCACUACGCAACAAGACAUUCCAGUGACAACACAUGCUAUAUUUACCCGCAACAUUACAAUAUGUAGUACCUAAAAAAUUAUGAAAAAUGGAUUUACCUGUUAUUUUGGUAGGUUUUUUAACUUUUGAAUGUGUUUUGUCAAGGAAGCGUCUAUCAACAGCGCAGGUUAGGUUAGCACGUAAGUGAGUGACAACCACUGUCGUGGCAUCAGAGAUGGUGAGUCAGUGGAUUUUGCUGAGAUGACAUCAAGGCCAAUGCUCAUUUAUUGAUUGCCACAGACCAGUGUUAUAGUGUCCCAAUAUCAAGGUUGGGAACUCAGGAAGUCGAUUACAAUUAGAAUAGCUUAAUUAAUCAUUAACGAAAAUCCAUAUCAUUCUCCCACUCGGUUUCCAUAUUACAGAAUAUGGCAGAGCAUUCUCUUACCUCUCAGCUCUUCAGUUGUGUCAGUGAGACAGUUUGGACUUGUCCAGUGUAGUUUGUCAGUAACAGGUUAAAUUAAACCAGCCUGGGUACAAAAACUGCUUAAAACUAUAUUUACAUCACUCAGAACCCUGUUAGUGGAGAGUUACAGUGUUCAAAUUAUAUCCUAAUAAGGUAAAAUCUAAUUUUAUUUGUCAAAUGCGCCGGGUACAGCAGGUGUAGACAUUACCGUGAAAUUCUUACUUACAAGUCCUUAACCAACAAUGAAGUUAAGAAAAUAUAGUUAAUAAGAACAUUUACAAAAUAAACUAAAGUAAAAAAUAACAAUAACUAGGCUAUAUACAGGGGGUAACGGUACUGAGUCAAUGUGCUGGGGUACAGGUUAGUUGGUCAAAAGUUUUAGAACACCUACUCAUUCAAGGGUUUUUCUUAAUUUUUUUAUAUUUUCUACAUUGUAGAAUAAUAGUGAAGACAUCAAAACUAUGAAAUAACACAUGUAAUCAUGUAGUAACCAAAAAAGGGUUAAACAAAUCAAAAUAUAUUUGAUAUUCUUCAAAUAUGUAGAUAGUCCGGGUGGCCAUUUGAUUAAUUGUUCAGCAGUCUUAUGCUUGGGGUUAGAAUCUGUUAAGGAGCAUUGGCGCUGCAGUACCACUUGCCCUGUGGUAGCAGAGAUAACAGUCUAUGACUUGGGUGACUGGAGUCUUGAUAAUUUUUUGGGCCUUCCUCUGACACCGUCUAGUAUAUACAGUGCCUUCAGAAAGUAUUCAGACCCCUUUACUUUCCCCACAUUUUGUUACGUUAAAGCCUUAUUCUAAAAUGUAUUACAUUUUCCCCGUCAUCAAUCUACGCACAAUACCACAUAAUGACAAAGCAAAACAUUUAAAAAAUAAUGAAACCCAUUUACAUAAGUACUCAGUACUUGGUUGAAGCACCUUCGGCAGCAAUUAGGGUUGCACAUUUUGGGGAAUAUUCAGAGGUGGACACUUUCUGUGGGAAUUAACUCAAAUAUAUGCAAAUUAAUAAUAUAAUAAUUAAUAAUAUAUGCAAAUUAUUUAAAUAAAAGAGUUGACUCUUCACAUGGGAUGAUUUCACUGAACAACAAAAGAAAGGGAAUAUUGAAUGAUCUCCAAUGAUCCAUCGCAUCUCCCUAAAAUGUUUUCAACAUAUGAUAGUCUAGAAACUAAAGCUUUGGAAGCCUGAGAGGAAGACAACCAUGUCUUCUCCCUGGACCUCCUCAAUGUCAACCUCUUGAACAUCAGACUCACUGUCACUUUCCAACCUUGUUGAGGAUGGCUCGUUGUCAGGCUCAAAAAGCCUCAAAUGUUCCUGGAUGGCCACCAAUUUUUCAACACUUGUAUUGGUCAGCCUGUUGCAUGC